UAGGGAAUCUUCGGCAAUGGGGGCAACCCUGACCGAGCAACGCCGCGUGAGUGAAGAAGGUUUUCGGAUCGUAAAGCUCUGUUGUAAGUCAAGAACGGGUGUGAGAGUGGAAAGUUCACACUGUGACGGUAGCUUACCAGAAAGGGACGGCUAACUACGUGCCAGCAGCCGCGGUAAUACGUAGGUCCCGAGCGUUGUCCGGAUUUAUGGGCGUAAAGCGAGCGCAGGCGGUUUGAUAAGUCUGAAGUUAAAGGCUGUGGCUCAACCAUAGUUCGCUUUGGAAACUGUCAAACUUGAGUGCAGAAGGGGAGAGUGGAAUUCCAUGUGUAGCGGUGAAAUGCGUAGAUAUAUGGAGGAACACCGGUGGCGAAAGCGGCUCUCUGGUCUGUAACUGACGCUGAGGCUCGAAAGCGUGGGGAGCGAACAGGAUUAGAUACCCUGGUAGUCCACGCCGUAAACGAUGAGUGCUAGGUGUUGGAUCCUUUCCGGGAUUCAGUGCCGAAGCUAACGCAUUAAGC
rnacentral:rRNA from 1 species